UUGGGAGCUCACUGGCUUCGGAGUCAUGGGAACUCCGAAGUUAAGCGAGUUCAAGCUAGAGCGAUCCCAAGAUGGGUGACCCACUGGGAAGUUGCUCGUGAGUUCCCAGA
rnacentral:rRNA from 1 species